UAUUAAAAUUUUUUGUCCAUUUGUAUUGUUGAAAACUGGCGUAGCUAACAGAAUAAUCAUACAAGUGAUAUGUUGCAUUCCACAUGUUCAUCAUGUAGACGUAUAUAGACCAAGUUUUAACAGUAGAAAUGUAUGAAAUUUUUAAUA
rnacentral:pre_miRNA from 1 species